rnacentral:rRNA from 1 species
CCCUUAGACGUUCUGGGCCGCACGCGCGCUACACUGACCAGUGCAACAAGCAUCCGUCCUUGGCCGACAGGCCCGGGCAAUCUUUGAACGCUGGUCGUGAUGGGGAUAGACUUUUGCAAUUUUUGGUCUUCAACGAGGAAUUCCUAGUAAACGCAAGUCAUCAACUUGCAUUGAUUACGUCCCUGCCCUUUGUACACACCGCCCGUCGGACCUACCGAUUGAAUGGUCCGGUGAAGCCUCCGGAUUGGCGCGCACCUCGGUGCCGCCGAGAAGUUGGCUAAACCUUACCAUUUAGAGGAAGGUGAAGUCGUAACA